CUAGAUCUGUCUCUCACUCUUUCUCUCCACUUCUGCUUCUUCUGCGCCCUUUUUUUUUCCAUCUGUGCACUCUUUUCUUUCAUUCCUCUCCUCUUCCUUUUCACUUGGUCUCCUCUCCCAUUCUCACCCCCCCUCCAAAGUAAGAUUCCUUCACUUUGGGUCAACUCUCCUCUUCCCUCCCCUCACAGGACUUUUGCUUUCUGUCAUGUGGGACACUGCAGUCAUUCUCUCUCACACGUUACUUGUGUUUGCUCUGUUCUCUUUGAUCAUUUCACUGCACUUCUUUUCCCCCCCACUGCAUUUGCAGAAGUUUGCUGUCCCUCUUUCUUCUUCAAAUCGCAUAUUGACCUCAGGUUUCUUUUUUCCAAUUUAAUUUAGCCUUUUUUUGACAUGACAAUUGUCAACUUUUUCGUCCUCCAUUUUUUAAGGACCAUGGAAAAAACAUUUACCAACACUCAGCCUGGCUGCAUGGCCCACACACGCUCACUCGGCUGGACGGACGCACAAACACCAUUUUGUCCACAGGUUCCCAGCCUUGACUCUGGCGGGGCUGACAUCAGCAGUCAUGUGGCAGACGGAGAGGCAGGUGGGUGAUGUGACAAGGGGGCUGGGCCACUGGGUUCUGCCACGAGGAGGGAAGACUAGGCGCCGAAUUGAUGGAGGUAUCUCUUUGCUCUCUUCAUCCACAACAAGCACAGAUGGGUCUGUGUAUCAUUUCAGGAUAAAGAAAAACAUUUUUAAAAAGAGGAAAUAUUUCAAGGACAUUCCUGACACAAGACAGGAACAGUUUCACCCCAUUAUUUCAGACUUUGGGAGAAAAAUAAGUCUCGCAGAAGCUAAAACUAAAAAAGUACCUCUUAUUAUUUGAAUGCAGAAAAACCCAGCACUGCGGACACUGUUUCUGCGGGAGGUCUGUCGGUCAGACGACGAUCAGCAGUGUUGCUGAUGCACUUAUUGACAGGAAGCUCAGAAUGAGUGCAACAUUGCCUCAUAAAAAUUACAACAGUAGUAAAAGGGCAAAGGCUACUGCAAGGUGCCUGUAGCGUUUUCCUUUGACCACAAAAUGUUCUUGUAAGAGCAGAGUGCAGGACAGACGAAGGGAGAGCAGAGGAGACACGGUGAAAUGGAAGUGCAUUUAGAAUUAGUGCUGAGGACAUAAUGUUACUGUUAAAUUAACCAUUUUAAAACUGCUUAAGGGAUGUUUAUAAAUACAUAACUUCAUUUUCUCUUUCACUUCCUUUUCCAAACAAGGCAAUCAGAGAUGGCAGAUUUCACCACCAUUCACUUAACAUUGCAUAUGUCAUUUUGCAGAAAAUUGCGUCAUUUCAUUAUCAAGUUUGCUACAGAUUUUAGUCUAUGAACUCAAAGGGCUAUUGAACAAGGAGCUAUAACAACUUGACCUUUAAUUGCAAAAUGUGGUAUAUGACCUCUAGUUUUGAUAUGUAUGUCAAGCGGGUGAUAGGUCACCUUUGAAUGCAUUCAUAAAAUUUGAUGAACAUUUCUGAACUUUGAACUAAUUUACCGCAAGAAGAUGUCAUAGGUCAAAUUGAAUGCCACAAACCCCAAAAGCCCUUUAAUAAGUUUCCCAAUGCCGGGGGUCCAAUCUCGAUACAACCAUUAGUUGAUGAGAUAUACAAAUUUGGCCGUGGUGACCUUGACCUUUGACUUUGGUGACCCACAAUGUAUUAAUGUGCAGAAAAAUCCAUAUUAACUGGUACAUCAAGUUUGAUUAAGAUCUGUUCACAUGUGCUUGAGUUAUAUUGUAGACAUUGACUCACGGAGAAAACCAGAUAGAAGCCAAAAACAACACUCUCACUGUAAUGAGACUACAGCUCACUACAGUGUCUCAGAGUCCAAACCAUUUAACUCACAUGUGUUCAGCCUGUGGACCGUUCAAAAACAAACUGUCAAGGAAAGGUCAGUUGUCCUAGUGCUGUAAGGCUUCAGUGCCAAACACUGAGCCACUGCACCGUUGAAUGGCUGCAUUAUUCGGGCGCACACACACACACACCUCUAGUUUUCAAGAAUUGUCACCAAAAAUCGGGACAUUGGGUCAGUUAGAUGACCGAGUGCUUUAGGCAGACCACACAAAGUGAAAAGCAGGAUAUAUUAUAAUAUUAAGGAAGUCUGAUAAGCACUCACACAGGCCCAUAAAUGCCAGUUCUCAAAAAGCGAACCCACUCGCCUGGGCGCCGACGCGCAGGCCAGGGCAGAUGAGCAUGAAGUCAUCCGCUGAAAGUAGCUGACACGGUUUCUUCAUAAACCGGCAUGAAUACUGAAUGUUCAACCCUGCGCGCACCACGAGUGAGCAUUAGUCAACGCGGACACAUCCACAGUCGGUCUCUUGGCGGCAGCACGGUGCAGCUCAUGCAUAAGGAAGCAGCGAGACCUGAGGAGACACUGUGUGGUCAAGAGAAGAGACUGGGGGGGGGGACAGCUGUGUGUCGACGUCCUCGGUCUCAUUGGUUUACCAUUAUUUCCUGUAAAUGUCAUUAAUGGGUGGAAACUUUAUAAUUUAUAUGUAUAGAUAUAACAUCUUUCCAAUAAAAUCACAUCUGUCAGAAAAGUUGAA